rnacentral:rRNA from 1 species
CCUACGGGUGGCAGCAGUGGGGAAUAUUGGACAAUGGGCGCAAGCCUGAUCCAGCCAUGCCGCGUGAGUGAUGACGGCCUUAGGGUUGUAAAGCUCUUUUCUCCGGGACGAUAAUGACGGUACCGGAGGAAUAAGCCCCGGCUAACUUCGUGCCAGCAGCCGCGGUAAUACGAAGGGGGCUAGCGUUGCUCGGAAUCACUGGGCGUAAAGGGCGCGUAGGCGGCGUUUUAAGUCGGGGGUGAAAGCAUGUGGCUCAACCACAGAAUGGCCUUCGAUACUGGGACGCUUGAGUAUGGUAGAGGUUGGUGGAACUGCGAGUGUAGAGGUGAAAUUCGUAGAUAUUCGCAAGAACACCGGUGGCGAAGGCGGCCAACUGGACCAUUACUGACGCUGAGGCGCGAAAGCGUGGGGAGCAAACAGGAUUAGAUACCCCAGUAGUC